rnacentral:rRNA from 1 species
ACAUGCCUACAACAUAGUGUUAAUGCAUCGAUCCCAUUAAAACUCCAUAGUUAAGAGUGCUCGAGCUAGAGUAGUAUUGGGAUGGGUGAUCGCCCGGAAGUCCUAGUGUCUUACAUGCC